AUCGCUUCUCGGCCUUUUGGCUAAGAUCAAGUGUAAAAUGCUUCUUCAUUAUCUUUAUGGGAGAAAAAUAUUGAUAUAAAACUUACAGACCUGGGAUCAUUUGAACCUCAUUUUAAAAUUAGAUUGUAAUUUAUACUUUUUUUUAACUCUCAUUAUCCAAU
rnacentral:snRNA from 1 species